CAAACGAAAAUAUGUCUCUCACACAACAGAGGUUAUCGGCAAAUGAUGCGUACCAUUUAGAAAAGAAUUUAUGUAUUCAGCCAGGUUUGUGGUCAUAUGACCAUAUCGUAGGCUGCCAUCGUAUGCUUGUGUCCAUAGUUCGAAAGGUAUGUUACAGAGAUAAUCUGCGCAUUUAUCAUUAACUGAACGCAAAAUCCCCA
rnacentral:lncRNA from 1 species